AUUGAACGCUGGCGGCAGGCCUAACACAUGCAAGUCGAACGAGUGGCGGACGGGUGAGUAAUGUCUGGGAAACUGCACGAUGGAGGGGGAUAACUACUGGAAACGGUAGCUAAUACCGCAUACCAUCGGAUGUGCCCAGAUGGGUUUAGCUAGUAGGUGGGGUAACGGCUCACAUAGGCGACGAUCCCUAGCGUGUCUGAGCGGAGGACAAGCCACACGGGAACUGUGACACGGUCCAGACUCCGACGGUAGGCAGCAGUGGGGAAUAUUGCACAAUGGGCGCAAGCCUGAUGCAGCCAUGCCGCGUGUAUGAAGAAGGCCGUCGGGUUGUAAAGUACUUGCAGCGAGGAGGCGUUGCUCGCAGAAGAAGCACCGGCUAACUCCGGGCCAGCCGCCGCGGUAAUUC
rnacentral:rRNA from 1 species